CUACGGGCUGCUGCAGUGAGGAAUUUUGCGCAAUGGGGGAAACCCUGACGCAGCAACGCCGCGUGAGUGAUGAAGGCCUUCGGGUCGUAAAACUCUGUCAAGUGGGAAGAACCUAUGUAAGGUUAAUACCCUUAUGUACUGACGGUACCACUGAAGGAAGCACCGGCUAACUCCGUGCCAGCAGCCGCGGUAAUACGGAGGGUGCAAGCGUUAUUCGGAAUUAUUGGGCGUAAAGGGCGCGCAGGCGGUUUUGUAAGUCAGAUGUGAAAGCCCGGGGCUUAACCUCGGAAGUGCAUUUGAUACUGCAAGACUUGAGUAUGGGAGGGGGAAGUGGAAUUCCUGGUGUAGAGGUGAAAUUCGUAGAUAUCAGGAGGAACACCAGUGGCGAAGGCGACUUCCUGGACCAAUACUGACGCUGAGGCGCGAAGGCGUGGGGAGCAAACAGGAUUAGAUACCCCGGUAGUC
rnacentral:rRNA from 1 species